GACAGUGGCUGAAGCUGACAGUGUCUCGCCAGCCAUCACGUCCCUGGAACAGUGGCCCAUCUCACCCCUGGGGGCGAUGACAGCAUCUGCUCAUAUCCCAGACCAAAGCUCAACAGAGCACAGGUGCCUCAGCCAUCCCACCACUGUUCAUUAACUUCCCCCUCUGCACCCGGCACUGGGGACCCAGCAGUGAACCGAAGAGGCUGUGCGGUCCACAAAGAGCGUGCGUGCAAAUAAAUCCGGGGUGUGCUCUCUGAGACAAGGGCUCUGGAGAAGAACAAGGGAAAUGAGAACAGGAGUGAGGCUUGGAAAAGAGAAAGAAGUUUGGGAAUAAGAAAGAUAAGGAUGUACCAUCUUGAGUCAUCGGAUCUGGAAGUAUCCUUGGAGGAACGGCACAGCCCAACUGCUACCUGUUAGAUGGGAGCCGAGGUCCAGAGACAGAUGAACCCAAAACCACACAGAAAUGUUGAGCUAUGUUAUCAGCUGAUCUGCUGAUUCAACAAGGUGCCCCUGCAGAGCCAGACACCCCCCAAGUGCCCUUUCCUCUUCCCACGGUCCACCCGAACAUGGCGUCGAACAUCUUCUGUUGCUGCUGCCAGGCCAACGAGGAGCCCUCUUCCACUGUUGACUCACGUAGUCCGAGAACAUCCCGGAGGCACCAGCCACGAUCCUGCAAUCUGAACAUGGAUUCUUGCACACAUGGUUUGAAGAAGAGACACCCACACCACCCUGCCAAUAUUUGGGUGCUAGAAACAUACACUACUGGGAGACCCUGAGCAUUCUAGUCGGCAGCCCCCACGAUGUGUGCCUGCCUGAGUGUCUCCGGGAGGAAGAGGGUGGUGAGCAGGAGCUAUGAAGAUGGAUUCAGAAACUCCCGGGGAGGAGGAGGAAACAUCUGAGCCAUUUCUGUGCCACCAACAAGAGUCGCUCUAGCCACGAUGGGAAGAGCUGCCUCCAAUUAAAGUCCUUGGUUGCAUCACA